rnacentral:rRNA from 1 species
AUUGAACGCUGGCGGCGUGCUCAACACAUGCAAGUCGAACGGUGAAGGAGAGCUUGCUCUCCGGAUCAGUGGCGAACGGGUGAGUAACACGUGGGCAACCUGCCCCAGACUUCGGGAUAACGCUUCGAAAGAGGUGCUAAUACCGGAUACGAACUCCUUGGGCAUCCUUGGAGUUGGAAAGUUUUUCGGUCUGGGAUGGGCCCGCGGCCUAUCAGCUUGUUGGUGAGGUAACGGCUCACCAAGGCGACGACGGGUAGCCGGCCUGAGAGGGCGACCGGCCACACUGGGACUGAGACACGGCCCAGACUCCUACGGGAGGCAGCAGUGGGGAAUAUUGCGCAAUGGGCGAAAGCCUGACGCAGCAACGCCGCGUGAGGGAUGACGGCCUUCGGGUUGUAAAGCUCUUUCACCGGAGAAGAUAAUGACGGUAUCCGGAGAAGAAGCCCCGGCUAACUUCGUGCCAGCCGCCGCGGUAACAC